AUAUCUGGAAUACUAUGGAGUAAGACCAUUUUUGCUAGCUAUAACCAAGGUUUCUAGAACCAAAGAAAGCACUCAACUCUUCUUAAAAUCAAUAAUAGUUAUGCUUGGGAUAAAACUGGAUUUUAUCUAGGUAAGAGUUGUGCUUAUCACUGGGCAGUGGUGGCACACGCCUUUAAUCCCAGCACUUGGGAGGCACAGGCAGGCGGAUUUCUGAGUUUGAGGCCAGCCUGGUCUACAAUGUGAGUUCCAGGACAGACAGGGCUAUACAGAGAAACCCUGCCUCAAAAAACAACAAACAAACAAACAAACAAAAAAGGAGUUGUGCUUAUGUAUAUAAAGCAAAACAAACUGAAUAAAACCAGAGUAAUUUGGCAAAAGGUAGUUGAGGCUCAUGGAAACAAUGGCGUUGUUUGUGCCAAAUUCCAAAGCAACUUUACUACAAAGGUCACUGGACACAGAGUA
rnacentral:lncRNA from 1 species